GACGAGCGCUGGCGGCGUGCCUAAUACAUGCAAGUCGAACGCACUCUCGUUUAGAUUGAAGGAGUUUGCUCCUGAUUGAUAAACAUUUGAGUGAGUGGCGGACGGGUGAGUAACACGUGGGUAACCUGCCCUAAAGUGGGGGAUAACAUUUGGAAACAGAUGCUAAUACCGCAUAAAACCUAACACCGCAUGGUGUAGGGUUGAAAGAUGGUUUCGGCUAUCACUUUAGGAUGGACCCGCGGUGCAUUAGUUAGUUGGUGAGGUAAAGGCUCACCAAGACCGUGAUGCAUAGCCGACCUGAGAGGGUAAUCGGCCACACUGGGACUGAGACACGGCCCAGACUCCUACGGGAGGCAGCAGUAGGGAAUCUUCCACAAUGGACGAAAGUCUGAUGGAGCAACGCCGCGUGAGUGAAGAAGGUUUUCGGAUCGUAAAACUCUGUUGUUGGAGAAGAAUGUAUCUGAUAGUAACUGAUCAGGUAGUGACGGUAUCCAACCAGAAAGCCACGGCUAACUACGUG
rnacentral:rRNA from 1 species